AUUGAACGCUGGCGGCAGGCCUAACACAUGCAAGUCGAACGAGAGGCGGACGGGUGAGUAAUGUAUGGGGACUGCCCGAUAGAGGGGGAUAACUACUGGAAAACGUGGCUACUACCGCAUACUAUCGGAUAACCCAUAUGGGAUUAGCUAGUGGGGGGGGUAAAGGCUCACCUAGGCGACGAGCUCUAGCUGGUCUGAGAGGAUGAUGAGCCACACGGGGACUGAGACACGGCCCAGACUCCUACGGAGGCAGCAGUGGGGAAUAUUGCACAAUGGGCGCAAGCCUGAUGCAGCCAUGCCGCGUGUAUGAAGAAGGCCUUAGGGUUGUAAAGUACUGUCAGCGGGGAGGCGUUACCCGCAGAGGAAGCACCGGCUAACUCCGUGCCAGCAGCCGCGGUAAUAC
rnacentral:rRNA from 1 species